GUGUGAGGCCGGUAGUGGCGGCAGGCCCCGCCCCCCCCCCCCCGCCUGCGCCGCCGGGCCAGGGUCUUCCGGGAGUCGGAUUGCUUGGGAAUGCAGCCCAAAGCGGGUGGUAAACUCCACCUAAGGCUAAAUACCGGCACGAGACCGAUAGUCAACAAGUACCGUAAGGGAAAUUUGAAAAGAACUUUGAAGAGAGAGUUCAAGAGGGCGUGAAACCGUUAAGAGUGCUGGCAUGCCAUUCAUGGAACUCGGUCCUGUCUAAUCAAUCAACCUGGGAACAACUUACAAUCUUUUAUGGAUAGCAGGAUAUACCUAUCGAGAAGAUAGAAGACUUACUUUCAUCAUCUGAAUCAAAUCCAAAGAGUGUCUGACAUUUCUUUUGUGCAAGUCGCUCAAGUCUAAAAAUUUUAAGAUCAUGACAAAGGACAACGGGCUACUUCCUUACCUGAAAUCCUUCAACAAUUCCAGCACAUUGACAGACUGAAGUUCCAGCUUGCAGUGCAGCAUGCAAGUCAAGGUCUUAAGGAUUUCCAACCACCACCCCUACCCCUGCAACUUCCUGGAGUCUCUUUGAUUAGCCUCCUCCCUACAUUUCUCUACCCUAUUAAUGCUGAAGGACAGUUGUGAAAGAACAAGUAAUACAAGGAGGCAAAAAAUGCUCGGUAAACUACAAAGUCCUCUACAUGUUAGUAUUAGCCUGCUCUACCAUUCAAAACCCAGCUUAAAGCAUUUUCUUCUGUGAAGCCUUUCCAGAUAUGUCAUUUGUAAUGUCACAUUCUUCAGAACUCACACAGCAUUGUGUCUCUUUUCAAAGCACUGAGGCAUACUGAAGUAUAAAUGAUCUAUUCAAUCAGUAAAGAUGUUUUUAAUAGAGUAUAAAUAGUUAAGCACAUUUUAAAAUAUUUAUUUCAUCUUUGAAUUUUUCCUUUUACGGUCUUAAGACAACUAGACAUGUGAAUAUAAGAAAGCUUUAUGGUAACUAUAUGAACUUCACCUAUAUUGUAAACUUUUUAUAACAAAAAUCUUUCAACUUUUGGUACAAAUAAGAAUCCUAUGUAAAAAAUAUACAUGGGUACAUUUUAUUUUAUUUUUGUUUUUAAGUUUUACAGGUGAUUCUGAUGCACUUCAUAUGUUGAAAAGGAUUUCAUAGCAUAGUUUGGUGUUUUGGUGUUUUUUUUCCGUUUUUAAUUGGGGGUACAGGUUAACUUUGACAGUGCAUUUGAAUAAUAUUUUACUAUUUAAUAAUGAAACUAUGAAUACAGAUAGUAAAGUAAAUAGGAAAUUUACAAAACUCUCUGAAUGCAAUGUUGCUAACUUUAUAUCAUGAGGAUGUAAUUAUACUACAUGGUCAUACAUCUUAUGAGUGAUAAUGAAAGUGGUAACUGCAUAAAUACAUAAGAAAAAGUAAAAUAUAUUAUUUAAUGGAUGCCUCUUAUAUAUUUAAAAGUAACCUUCAUAAAGAUUCAGCUAAAUGGAGCUACCUAAAGUACAGGGUAGUUUUAUUUCCUUAUCUUUGUAUUCAAAGUUCAGUUAAUAUUUGAGGGGAAAAAGUUAAAGGAUCUGCAGGAUCCAAUUUCACGUCUAUGUAAGAGUCUUAGGUUGAAAUGUACCCACAUUUAAGUGACCCAUGAAAAACUUCCUUUAGAACUAUUUUUAAAAACAGGUACUGGAUUUCACUAUUACUUCAAAUAUAUACUUUAAAAGUUUGUCAGGUUUCAAAAAUGCCUCAAAAUUCAUUGUUCCUUUUCACCUGAACACCAGACUUAAAACUAUGAACCCCCAUAUUUUUCUGUGGAAGUGAGCAGGCAUUACCUAUGGAUAUACAAAGUCCAUUUGCAAAUAAGUUAAGAUUCUACAAACAGGAUUUAGGACAGUGUUAAAAGUGACAAACAUUUAAUUUUAAGGGAAGAGAUAAUAGCUUCUUAUGGAUGCAGUUGUUCCAUAUUAAAUUUUAAGUAACACCAAAUUGGCAGUUGUUCUCUUUUUUUCAGUUAUUUUCACUCAUGUAUACCCUUAGUACCAUGUUGAGAAUUUGAGAUUGGGGGAAGGGAAAGAUGUAAUACAUGGAGAAUGUGGCUUUAAAAUCCUCCUUCCCUUCAAAUAAAUUUUAUCAUAAAAGAUUCAAGUUUCAGUAAACUGUCAUUUAAACUUAUUUAAAAUUAAGGGAUAAAGAUAUACUAUUUACCUCAUCUUUAAUGAUUUUCAUGAAAGGAAAUAUGACUCUCACAUUAGUUGCUGUUCUUAAAAGCUGGUAGCAUUGAUCUACAAAAACUUGUUUUGAAGGAUUAGACUUAAGCUGAAGUUUACUCCAUAUGAAAAUCAACUCCCUGUAAAUGAGAAAAAUAAGAAAUAUCAAAAAUACAGUUUAUUCAAAUACAGAUAUUAGCUAUCUUUUGCUGAUUCUAUAGUACCCUGGCUGGGAUGUAUACAGAGUGGGCGUAAAUGGAUAUUAUGGUAACCUCCAAACUACUUCUGCUACCUGUAUGGGACUAAUAGAAGUCAGCAGAGGUAGGGGAGGUGGUGGUGGUAAAUCAGAAACUGUAAUCUUACAGUGGUAAGGGAUGAAUUCUAAUCAUUUGCUGAUAAUUCUAGGCACCUCUAGUAUGUGAAAACAAAAUCUAAUCCCUAUGUACCACUAUUAAUGAUACUACUUUAAAAAAAUAAACUUUGGUCCUGAAUACCUACUUGUAAAUUUAGA